rfam:Abiotrophia defectiva ATCC 49176 genomic scaffold Scfld0, whole genome shotgun sequence.
CCACAUCUGCAACCGCGCAAGUUGAGUCUAAGCGCCAGUUCUGGCCACUUAACAUGGCGAGUCUAAGUGCAGGG